GGGGCCGUUUAGGAUUCGACGCCGGUUGCGAAACUUUAGGUGCAUGCCGAGUUGGUAACAGAACUCGUAAAUCCACUGUUGCAACUUCUAUAGUUGCCAAUGACGAAAACUACGGCCAGGAAUUCGCUAUCGCUGCGUAAGCAGCCUUAGAUCCUGAGCUUCUGGUACCUUCGGGUCCAGCAAUCAUUAGGGGAUGUCCGUAAACCCAAAGUGAUUGUCAUAUAGAACGGAAUCGCCGUGCAGUACGUUGUGGACGAAGCGGCUAAAACUUACACAACUCGCCCAAAGCACCCUGCCCGUCGGGUCGCUGAGGGUUAACUUAAUAGACACGGCUACGCAUGUAGUACCGACAGCAGAGUACUGGCGGACGGGGGUUCAAAUCCCCCCGGCUCCACCA
rnacentral:tmRNA from 5 species